UUUGGGCUCUCUGGCCUCUCUUUACUGUCCGCACUUGCAGUUUGUUUCAUUAAAAGCUUGUUGGGAAGCAUGUACA